AGAGAGAGAGAGAGAGGGAGGGAGAGUUGAGUGUAUUAUGUUUGCCACCAAAUUAGCCUUUCUCAUGGGACAGCGAAAGAAAUCCUUGGUGCCUCUCAAAGACUUCAAGUGGGUCAUUCUUUGUUGUGGCCCUACUUCUCUCCCACUUGUUGAUGAUCUCUGCUGUCAGUCUCUUCCUCUGUUGUCAUCUUCUCCUUUUACCCAAACCAACCCCCAAAACAAGUAAACAACAGUCCUUCUUUCCUUUCUGUGUGCUAUUCUUCUCUGUACCCAAACAAAGACCUAGCUUUUCAUAUCCUAGAAACUGUGUUUGUUGGUAUGAAUCUGCUGGUCGGAGGUGAUUGUAAAUCUAGUUUGAUUCUGGUAUUACUUUGACUCAUUGUUGUUGUGGAAUUUGCGAAUGGGUAUUCGUUGUUCUGUGUAAAGAAGUGUGUUAUUUUUCAGUUCAAGCAUCUGGGUGUUCUUGAAAUUGGAAAAGCUGUACUGGGAAUUACCUGAAAUGGUUGUUUUUGGAUUUUUGAUUUGAUGGAUUGAUUUGGGGUUACUCAUUAGGUGUAAAGCAGAAAGGGCUGUUUCAAUUGGUUUAGAUUUAUUAUUUUGUAUAUUGUUUAGUGAUUGAGAUUUCAUGCUUGGUCCAAGACAAUGGAGAGGUUUAUGGCCAGAUUUUUUCUUUUUUAGCAUUGAACACUGUAGCAGCUCAGUGAAGUAUUAUGAAGAAUCUUCUCAAAAAGUUCCAUAUGAUGUCUAAUCAAGCAGAGGAUACGGAGGGUUCACCUUCUUCAAGAGGCAGUAAAUCCAAUGAGACACCACUCAGUGAUAGAUUUGUGCCUUCUAGGUCUCACCAGAACCCUGAGCAAAAACCCUUUUCGGGUCUUUCUAAUUGGUUCACUUCAGUUACUCAUAGGAAAAGUCCUAGCCCACCAUCUUCUUCAAAUGUUACAAGAGGAGAGAAAAUGGAACCAUCUGAUUCAGUCAGCACUAGUGGUUUAGAGGUUGCUCCGGAGGCAGUGACGCAAGAUUCGGGGUCUAGCAACUCCAGGGAUCCUGAUUUAGAGGAGGAGUUUCAGAUACAAAUGGCUCUGGAGUUGAGUGCAAGUGAGGAUCCUGAGGCAGUUCAGAUUGAGGCUGUUAAGCAAAUUAGUUUAGGUUCUUGUGAUCCUGAGAAUACCCCGGCUGAAGUUAUUGCCUACCGAUACUGGAUUUACAAUGCUCUUAAUUAUGAUGACAAGAUCUUGGAUGGUUUCUAUGACCUGUAUGGUGUCUUGACUGAGUCCACUUCUGAAAGAAUGCCUUCCCUUAUUGAUCUGCAAGGAACACCAGUAUCCGGCAAUGUCACAUGGGAAGCAGUUUUGGUCAACAGGGCUGCCGAUGCCAACUUGCUGAAACUUGAACAGAAGGCCUCUGAGAUGGCAGUCAAGUCGAGGUUGGAAUCUCUAGUUUCUGUGAGCAGUGAUUUGGUGCGAAAACUUGCGGUUUUAGUUUCUGAUUACAUGGGUGGACCAGUUGGGGACCCUAGCAACAUGUCAAGAGCAUGGCGAAGUCUUAGCUACAGUUUAAAAGCAACCCUUGGUAGUAUGGUUUUGCCACUUGGUUCCUUGACGAUUGGAUUGGCUCGUCAUCGUGCCUUGUUGUUCAAGGUUUUAGCUGAUAGCAUUGUCAUGCCAUGCCGGCUGGUGAAGGGGCAGCAAUUCACUGGUUCUGAUGAUGUGGCAAUGAAUUUUGUAAGGGUUGAUGAUGGAAGGGAAUACAUUGUUGAUCUAAUGGCUGAUCCUGGAACUCUUAUUCCUUCUGAUGCGGCUGGAUCACAUAUAGUAUUUGAUGAUCUUUUCUUUUCCACCAGUCCUUUGUCUAGAGACAUUGACUCUUCUCGUGUAGCCUCUUCUAGCAGUGGGGUCGGGAGUUCAUUUGAAGAACAUUCAGAGCCUGGGACGUUGGAGAGGAGAUUUAGGUCGAAGAAUUUUUUCCCUGAAGGAAACCAAUCUGAAGAAACCAUUGAAUUUCGUAACUUUGCAAAUCUAACUAAGCCAAAUAAAGGUGAGGAAGGAUCUAAGACACCCUCAGAUUUGAAACAGUUUUCCACUGCUGAGAAGAUGUUGGUGCGAGAGCUUCCUAGCAGGCCCAAUUAUCCUCACGUGCAUGCAAGGUCGCCCUCAUGGACCGAAGGUGUUAGCUCACCCGCUGUGCUUAAAAAGAAAGCUAAAGAUGUUUCACAAUACAUGAUUGAUGCUGCCAAGGAGAAUCCGCAAUUAGCUCAGAAGCUUCAUGAUGUGUUGGUAGAGAGUGGUGUUGUUGCUCCCCCAAACUUGUUUUCUGAAAUUUACCCCGAGAAGUUAGAUGCAUUGACCUAUGAGGGAAAGAUUUCUUCUCAAGUUGCAUAUGGCUCUAAAGAGGGAACUGGAAAUCAAGAUACUAAGGAUCAAGAUGAUUUUGGCCCACCACGUUUUGUGCCUCCGCUGCCUCAUAGGGUGCGUUCUAAAACAAGUCCGUUUAGUAACCAAGCUGAGCAAUAUAAACCUGUUGAAGGCAUAGGGGUCAACCUUGCUUUUGAUAUAAGAGAAGGGACUAGACAACCUGUUAUAUCACAACAGUCUGAAAACUAUGUAAAAAAUGUCCCCGUUGCUGCUGCUGCUGCAGCAGCUGUUGUUGCAUCUUCAAUGGUAAUUGCUGUAGCAAAGGCAAACACCGACCCAAAUCUUCCUGUAGCAGCUGCUGCCACUGCCACUGCUGCAGCUGUGGUGGCAACAACUGCCGCUGUCAAUAAGCAGUAUGAGCAGGGCAUACGAAGUGAUGGAGAUGCUGAUAGUACUGGUAAUGAACCACAUGGUAGCAGAGAUCAGGAACGUGAUGCAUUGGCAGAACGCGAGAGAAUAGCAGAUAGAUUUGCGGGUUCCGAUAGCUCCAAAUCUGAUGUCACGCUUGAUGAUGUUGCCGAAUGGGAGAUUCUAUGGGAGGAUAUCACCUUGGGUGAGCGUAUUGGGCUUGGUUCCUAUGGAGAAGUAUAUCGUGGGGACUGGCAUGGGACUGAAGUUGCUGUAAAAAGGUUCUUAGACCAAGAUUUAUAUGGUCAAGCACUUGAAGAAUUUAGAAGUGAGGUCCGCAUCAUGAAAAGAGUCAGGCACCCCAAUGUUGUCCUCUUCAUGGGAGCAGUUACUCGUGCUCCAAAUCUUUCAAUUGUUGCAGAAUUUCUUCCUAGAGGUAGCUUAUACAGAUUACUUCACCGGCCUAACAAUCAAUUAGACGAGCGGAGGCGUCUGAGGAUGGCACUUGACGCUGCUCGGGGUAUGAAUUACUUGCACAAUUGCACUCCAGUCAUAGUACAUCGUGAUUUGAAGUCCCCAAAUCUUUUGGUUGAUAGAAAUUGGGUUGUCAAGGUAUGUGAUUUUGGAUUGUCACGGAUGAAGCACAACACGUUUCUAUCUUCAAGAUCAACAGCAGGGACGGCUGAGUGGAUGGCUCCUGAAGUGUUGAGAAAUGAACCUUCAGAUGAAAAAUGUGAUGUUUACAGCUUCGGGGUCAUAUUAUGGGAGCUCUGUACAUUACAACAACCAUGGGGAGGAUUGAAUCCAAUGCAAGUUGUUGGUGCAGUAGGAUUUCAACAUCGCCGACUUGACAUUCCAGAGUACAUGGAUCCUGCCGUUGCAGAAAUCAUUAGGCAGUGCUGGCAGACGGAUCCAAAAUUGAGGCCAACAUUUGCUGAGAUCAUGGCUGCUCUGAAGCCGCUGCAGAAGCCGAUAACAAGUUCACAAUUGCAUAGAACAAGUGCAUCCGCGAGUGGACAUGAUAGAGGACAGCAGUCGGAAGCAGCAGAAGACCUUGCAAGCUGAUAUAUCAAGCAUAAAAUAUUCUAAAUCUCGGAUUAUUUGUCAAAAUCCAGUGGGGCAAAUCGCCUUUACUGUUCGGAUCAAGUGUGAGAAAGUGAUUGGCACCUACUCUCUAUAAAUGUGCAGCAGUGGAAAUGUAGCUCUAAUGCUGAUGAGCUUCAAGAGCCAAAGACACGGUGCAAUGGAAACAGACUAUAUGCAACCUUGCGCUAAGAAACAGUGCAAUAGAAACCGAAUAACAGCAAUGAAGCCACAUCCACUUGUACAAGACAGUGAUUCUUGUGGAUUUCUCCUCCAGGCAAACAGUACCUAAAGAAAGUGAAGGAAAGAAAAUACCCACCAAUUAACUCCUAUCAAAGA